UACGUAGGUGGCAAGCGUUGUCCGGAUUUAUUGGGUUUAAAGGGUGCGUAGGCGGCCUUGUAAGUCAGUGGUGAAAUACUCCAGCUUAACUGGAGGGGUGCCAAUGAUACUGCAGGGCUUGAGUACAGAUGAGGUAGGCGGAAUUGACGGUGUAGCGGUGAAAUGCAUAGAUAUCGUCAAGAACACCGAUAGCGAAGGCAGCUUACUGGGCUGUAACUGACGCUGAGGCACGAAAGUGUAGGGAUCAAACAGG
rnacentral:rRNA from 1 species